AAAAUUAACACCGUAACUUCGGGAGAAGGUGUGCCCCGGUAGCGUGUAGAGACUUGCUCUCGAAGCGCGAUGGGGUUGCAGUGAAAUGGUGGCUGCGACUGUUUAAUAAAAACACAGCACUCUGCAAACACGAAAGUGGACGUAUAGGGUGUGACGCCUGCCCGGUGCCGGAAGGUUAAGUGAUGGGGUGCAAGCUCUUGAUCGAAGCCCCGGUAAACGGCGGCCGUAACUAUAACGGUCCUAAGGUAGCGAAAUUCCUUGUCGGGUAAGUUCCGACCUGCACGAAUGGCGUAACGAUGGCCACACUGUCUCCUCCUGGGACUCAGCGAAGUUGAAAUGUUUGUGAAGAUGCAAUCUACCCGCGGCUAGACGGAAAGACCCCAUGAACCUUUACUGUAGCUUUGCAUUGGACUUUGAACCGGUUUGUGUAGGAUAGGUGGGAGACUGUGAAGCCGGGACGCUAGUUUCGGUGGAGUCAACCUUGAAAUACCACCCUGAUUUGUUUGAGGUUCUAACCUUGGUCCGUGAAUCCGGAUCGGGGACCGUGCAUGGUAGGCAGUUUGACUGGGGCGGUCUCCUCCCAAAAGGUAACGGAGGAGUACGAAGGUACGCUUAGGGCGGUCGGACAUCGCCCACAAAGUGCAAUGGCAAAAGCGUGCUUGACUGCGAGACCCACAAGUCGAGCAGGUACGAAAGUAGGUCAUAGUGAUCCGGUGGUUCUGUAUGGAAGGGCCAUCGCUCAACGGAUAAAAGGUACUCUGGGGAUAACAGGCUAAUUCCUCCCAAGAGUUCAUAUCGACGGGGGAGUUUGGCACCUCGAUGUCGGCUCAUCACAUCCUGGGGCUGUAGUCGGUCCCAAGGGUAUGGCUGUUCGCCAUUUAAAGUGGUACGCGAGCUGGGUUUAAAACGUCGUGAGACAGUUUGGUCCCUAUCUGCCGUGGGCGCUGGAAAUUUGAAGGGGGCUGCUCCUAGUACGAGAGGACCGGAGUGGACGAACCUCUGGUGUACCGGUUAUGACGCCAGUCGUAUCGCCGGGUAGCUAAGUUCGGAAGAGAUAAACGCUGAAAGCAUCUAAGCGUGAAACACGCCUUAAGAUAAGAUUUCCCGGAGUCUUGAACUCCCUGAAGGGUCGUCGAAGACCACGACGUUGAUAGGUCAGGUGUGGAAGCGCAGCAAUGCGUUAAGCUAACUGAUACUAAUUGCCCGUGCCGCUUGAUCCU
rnacentral:rRNA from 1 species